GCCCUUCGCCUCCAUAGCCCCAACUCCACACCUGUCCCAUAUCUGAAACUUUGGUUAAAAACAUGAAGCAUCAGGUGUCUUGCUUUACAUCAAAAAAUCGUCCACAGCUUCGUACUUCAUACAACCUACUUCGUACUUCAUAUAACCUACAAAACUACAUAGUGUGACCACGAAGAGGAGACUACACCUGAAAUUCGCAAGGGUGCACGAUGCAGUGACCCAAGAAGCAGUUGGUUUACCUGACAGUGCUAAGGUGUGGCGCCCACCAGCAGCAACACUGGUGAUCUUUAUUCCAGGACCCAGAGUUACAAGAGAAGGUGACACUGUGAAAAAGUCAUCUCCAGAUGAUGAAUUUUCAAAUUCUUCCUUAACUGUUGAUACUUUUCUCUUCUUUAUAAUUUCCUCUCCAGCCCUACUGUUUUCAGAUUGAGAAACUGUCCUACCGGCUAAACUUGAUCCUUGGGACCUUGGACUCACUUCUUUUGUUGGCAGUGCAUUUUGUUUUCCAUCAUUAUCCUUUUGGAAGCUUCCUGCAGCUGCCGUAUAACGGAUGAAUUUCAGAGCGGGAACACACUCUUUCCAUCCCCAUGUAUAUACUUCCCGUCACUGCAUAUUGACUAGUGAUGAGCUUAUUGAACCUCUCUGAAUGGAAAAUUAGAAAUGAAAACCCACUUUGGCCUUGUCAGGCGUAAAUGAGUUGAGAUAUGCCAAGUACUAAGGUGCAUAGGCUUCAAUUGCUUAGCUUAAAUCAAGCUUGAGCUUAUAUUGAGCUUACUCCACUGUUCAUUUUUUUUCCUUUUUUUUUUUUUUAAAUGUAGUUACUGACUUCAAGUGCAAAACUGUAAUUAAACUGAAGGCCUACAGAAAAUCUAACGGUUUUUGAAUUACUCAUUUACAAAUUUUUACAUUAGACAAAUAUAACAUUUUCUAAACUCCAGUAAACUCAAGUACAAGUGGGUCCAUUCACAAAGACCAUAUGAUUUCAAAUUUGCAAAAGAUAGAAUGCCUGCAUCCUCUUUUCUCACCUUUAUUUUUUCAUUCUUUUUCUCGUUGCCCCUACACCCAUUCCAAAAAUAUAUCUCACUGUUUGAUGAUUCAUUUUAUUUGCAUGACGUUAUUGUGAAAAUCUAAUAGCACAUUUUAAGUUAAAGACAAAUAUCUACUAUUCUAAAUGAAUAAAUUUGAAUAGCUUAAAAUUGGUUAUACAUCAAGUUUUAUCAAGCCUUUUCAUAAGCUCCAUUUUUUUUUUCUAACUUGUUUCAUUUAGGUUUGUAAAAACAAGCUUUUACCAAACCUACUCAGAGCUACUCACUGAGCUACUCAGAGUUAUCCAUCAAGUUUUAUCAAGGCCACUAAUUACUACUAAUUAAGAAAAACAUUAUAUUUCCUUAACAAGUGCAUCAAAAGGAAAGGCAAUUUAAUUAGCCCAAGGAAGAAGUCCAUUGUUAAGUAAUGUCCCUUGCAGCAAAAUCAAAAGUAUUGGACAUUUUAAAAUGAAUUCCAGGAUCUACUACUCCCUAACACUAACACAGGCUGUAGUUUUGUAUCCAGAAAUCAAAUAGGCACAAAAGGUGGAAAGUUACAUUAAUGUAUAAUGGCAAGCAAGAUCUAUGUUUUUUCCUCAUUUCUUUUCAAUAACCAAAUAACAAGUAACAUUAAGUAAAUAAUAAAAGAAAAACCUGCAACUGAUACAAAAUGUGCCCAGCCAGCCGCAGCCUUCACUACUGAAGCUUCAUGUGGAAGAGGAAAAGGCUCUGGUAUCUCCUUAACAAUGUAUAGCAGAAAGAAGAUGCAAAAUCAAUUCAAACAGAAAAUUGCAACAAAAGAAUUCAUUAACCGGGAGAUCACUGCAUUACCCCAUGCUUCCCAGAAGUUAUAUAGCUCUGACCUUCAUCAUCCGUUGAACCCCAAGAUAUUAGCUUUCCAGAUCCUAAUUCCAUAUUCUUGAGUACAUAAGCAAUUAUACCAUAGCAUAUUAAUUAACAACAAUUCUAAUAACUAUUUUCCACAUUUAAUUAAGCAUAAUCUAGAAUAAUUGUUUUGCCGAAGAAAUUGACCAUAACUUUCUGGAAUCUGAAAAUCUGGAAUACUCUAUAAUAUUCAUUUAAGUAACAUAAUCUUCAAUUCCGAGAUUUACUGGAACUAAAGAUUAUCAAAAUCAGAGAAAACUAACAUAUCCGGAGCUAAAACAGCAGAGCAUCACAUGUAAAACAUUUAUGAGAUCUAAAAAAUAGGUAUCAAUCAUCGCAUGACUCAACAAUACUUAGCGUGCUUUAUUACGCUUUAUCUAGAAAACAUGGUAAGGGAAAAAAAAAAAUAACAUUCUAGAACCAUGUAGAACCAAUUAACGAGGAAAAAAAAAGAAAAGAAAGAAAGAAUGUCAUUUUCUAUUGUACAAUAAUUACGUUGAUUUUUUUUCCCUUUCACUUUCUUGAUUUUUCUUGGCAAACAAACAACAGAAAUGGACACAUGGAAGAAAAAAUAAAGAUUAUAUCUUUUACUUUGAUGGCUCUGCGGUAUGUGG
rnacentral:misc_RNA from 1 species